rnacentral:lncRNA from 1 species
UUUCUUUUAGAGUAAUUUUUUGAUUUAAGUCAAAUUUGAACUGCAGGUGGUUGGAAUAAUGGAAUAAUAUGAGUGAAAAAAUCAUAUUCAUGUUAGUGAGUCUAAAUUAAGGUCUCACCCAUAAAAUGAAAAGAAAUUUCGAACAUUUUGCUAAGGAAACACGACUACGAACGUGUGGCCAAAUGAUUGUUUAAUUCUCAAAAAUACAAACGAAGUUUGAAAAUCAUGAGAUUUUGCAAGAUGUUUUGAUUUCAUAUGCAGAGGCCGUGGUAAAAAAUUGAUAAGGUUUCGCACAAUUUUUGACAUAUGAUGUUCACAAUUCGAAGCAUCUCCGGAGAGGUUUCAGAGAAGUUCAAAGGAUCCGGUAAGAUUUAGAGAUGAAUCGAUAAAUGUAAUUCUCAUUGAGUCCAAAUUAUUUUUUAUAGGCUAUAGAGAACAUAGAUAGGUUCAUGUUAAAUUUUGGGAAAUUUUCAGAUCCGUUUGGUAAUUUUUAUUCAUUAAUUGGACGUAUAUGAAUUUAAUAGAUAUAAAUUAAAUAUGAGCUAUAAAUCCAUGAAAUAAUGGUACAAUAUUACUUAAAAAAUGGAAUACGCAAUGUUUAGUGAAUUGGACUAGGUUUACACAAAGUUUACGUACUUUUAAUUACUAAAAGUGUUAUUG